CAAUUAGAUAUAAAAUGGAUGCUGCAAUUACUACUAGAAUAUCAAGCUAUUGCACAUCCACUAAAUAUGAAUGUGAAUUGCAUUGACCAUUUACAGAGCUUACUGAUUACAUCAUUAUUGUAAAUCAGUGGCAUUAUAAAUCAAGAAUUGUCUGUAACUUCAAACUAAUACUUUUCAUCGUGAUUCGAACUGUUCAUUGAUAAGAUUGAAAUGUUUGCAAAACAAGACAAAACUGAUACUGAUCGAAAAGAAGAUAAAUCACGAAAACUUCCCCAAGGAACCAGAGGUCAAAUAUCAACCACAGAUGAGAUACGGAAAAUCAAAGUUUCAGUAGGCUUUCUUUUUGCCUCUUGUAACAUGGCACAUUGCUGCACAAGCUUCACCAUUACCAAUAUGAAAGCCGAUACUUGUUAGAGAAUUAAAGAUUCAUUCCAAAAAAAUGUACACAUUAUAAAAGAUUAGUUCCUCAUCAAUGGAAUCGCUCUGUAUCUCGUUCACGGUUAAUCUUUGACUCCUGGUUCCUUAGGGAAGUCUUUGUGGUUUGGCAUCCCGUUUCGAUUGAUACUAGUUUUGUCUUGUUUUGCAAACAUUGUAAUCUUACCCUGUUCAUCCUUAUUUAUCAAACUAAAGGUUCAAGUCAAUUUUAUCACAGUGAGACUCAAAGCACCAACCUUUCUGGAAUUCUGGAAAAUCUCGAUAUAAAUAAACAUAUUAUUCAUUUUUUAUGAUAGCGUUUGUCUGUUGGAUGGAUAUAAAGUAAACAGUUACAUGCCAUCUUGAAUAUUUUUAUUCCACAUCAACAUUAGCGAGUCUAGAUCGGCUUAUAUAUGGGCCAGUUAAAAAAAUUUUUCGUGAACUCGUAAGAUUCGCCGCUUCAGUCGCAGCGCGUUGAUGACACUCCUUCGCCCCAGUCUCGCGAACUACCAUAUUUAUUCCUAAUAAGAUUAUCUUCUUACCAAAAUGAUAUUCAAAAUUAUAAGAUGGAUUUGUUUGGCUGUCCAUAAAUUAAUAUUUUCACGUGUAUUUAAAUAUUGGAUAUUAUAAAAUAUGAUC
rnacentral:lncRNA from 1 species